GGAUGGACCCCUAACGUGUGUGGUGCCGCGGGAGGGCAGAGCGGGCACUGGGACUCUGCGGAUGAGGAGGCGGGUUGGGGCGGGCUGGUCAAUGCACACCCUUCCGGCAGACGGGUCCCCCUGCAGCCGGAAGCCAUACCUGCCCCACUGCCGGCCACCUGGGAUCCGGGGCCUCCCAGGCCCAGGGGGUACCAGCAUCGCCACUGUCCUGCUGGUGCUUGUCAGGCAGGACCCCUCCUGAGACCCUGACUGGCGGGAUUACAUCUCCCCCCCCCCCUCCACCGCCCCCCGCAUCUGCAGAGCGACUCAUUCUGUGACUAUGUCACCUUUGCUGGGGUUUCGGCUCUUUGUACCCCAGACGGUAAUUGUGUUCCUACUUCAUCAGUGGGAGAACUUACUCAGCUCGAGAGAGAGCGUGCAGGGAUUAGACUCUGCUGGGCAGUUCGGCGGCCCCAACACCCCAGCACCCAGCAGACCCCCUGGAGCCAGCCUGGCGCUGCCCUCAACACGGGGCUUCAAACGCCUCCAUGUGUCCGUGCCUCAGUCUUCCCCUCUGCACGGCCAAGAGAGCACCAAGUGUCCCCCCCGGCCGGCCGGGGUGCCGUGCUCCGGCUGUUACUGUCAGUAUUUGGGUCCGUGUCUGGCUCGGGCUCCCCUGGCAGGUCCCAGAGGGUGCUGGGGAGUGGCCGUGGUGGCCGUGGGGCCUCUCUCCCAGGUCUGAGAUACGGAAGGCCCCUUGCUCGGCCCGGCUGUCGGGGCCCCUCCGGCGGCAGUCAGCCUGGUGGUGUGGUGGGACGGGUGCCGGUGCAGGCCAGGCGCCCGGGGCUGUCAGCAGCCCCAGCUCCGACACCCGGGCCACGUCCAGCUGGAGUGUCUCAGCCUCGCUCUGCAGAUACGCGCCUGCCGAGGGGCAGCGACACCCGCGACGGGGCGCCAGACCCGGGGCCAGGCCCGGCCAGCAGACGCGCACGCGGCUGGCGGCUCUUCUGGGGCCCCGGCCUGACAUCAGUCCAUAGUUAACUCCGAACAGCCCCUAAGAGCGACACGGCCUCCUUCGGCCCCACCCUCCUGCCACCGCUCUGCCGUGGCUGUGCUCACCCCCAGGAUGCCCUUCCCUCUGCCUCUGCAGAGCCUACCCUGCCAGCCGGGCCCAGAGCGUGUCUUCUCCUCCUCCUCCUUCUCCUCCUCCUCCAGGAAGCCUUCCUGAACUUCUCUAACCUCGAAAUGCCAGUGCUGGGAUGUCCCACUCCUCCAUUUAGUACAGUUGGGUGGGAACGGAGAGGCCGAGGACAGUGUGGGGCCAGGCGGGACCCAACCAUGACCUCACACAGUGAGUCAGCAGAACGGCAGCCAGAGGCCUGUUUCUCCGAUUCUCAUACCUGCUGUCCUAGCCGGACUGUCCCCUUUCAGACCUCCUUCCUGUGCCUGGGGACUCUGUCCCACCGGACACCAUGGUGAUGAGCCUGAGGGGCCCUCGUCCUGCCCAAGAUUGGGGGUGGGGGGGGCAAGCGAGGAAAGUCCUGCCAUACACUUGCUGGCCACCCUGGGUCAGAGGCCUCUCUCGGGCCUCAGUUUCCUUGUCAUUGUAUUAUGGGCAUGACGUCACUGCCCAGGGUGGGAGAGGUGAGAGCCGCAGACACGUGGACGCGUGCUUUUCUGGGGGCCCGGAGGACGCCGGGCCGGCCCAGUGGCCGCUCCCUGGACACUUGCGUCCUGAGCAGGGCCAUGCUGAGUGCCCAAGAGGCCAACGGGGGAUUCCAGUGGGGGGCAGGGCUCCACACAGGUGGCACCACACCGAGAUGCCCACCGGGGGCUUCCUGGGAGGAUGGACUGGCUGGGCUGGCAGAGGAGGGGGCGGCUGUGGGAGGAGGGACAGCAAAGCAAAGGCUGGAGGCAGAGAGGUGCUGGCAGGCCCAGUGACAGGCUGGAGGAGGCCUCUGACACGCGGUCCCUCCUCGGCUCUCCCUGAAGUCUUCGCCGCCCCUGCCAGCCAAGACGGUUUGGCCAGGAUCGCGCUGAAUUGUUAAUCUGCCCCCUGGGACCAUAAACGGUUUUAAAGCUUUAUAAACGGCUUUACUUCCCUGUCCCCACCCUGGAGUUUUCCAGGGACAGGCGGAGGGACGGCCCGUCUGUGCACCCCCACCUCCACUCCCAGUCUGUGGAGAGCGCCACCCCCCUCCGGCGGGCACAGCAGGCGGGUGUGGGGAGCCGGCUGCUUUACGAGCCCCGGGCGUCUCCUGCCAGGGGUGGUGGCGGGGGCGGGGCGCAGGAAACACCUGGCCUCAGAGCCAGACGCCAGCCCUCCACCUGCCUCCCCCCCACGGAGCCCCCUCCCCCGGCACAAGACCCCGCGUGCCUGCCAUCUGGACGGCACGUCCUGCGCUUGGCUUCAGACGCUUCCAUUUCCCUGCUCCCCUCGAGCCCCGCGCGGCACAGGGCACCGGGCUGUGCCAAAGGAAGGCCUCUGUCCGCCGCGUUCACCUGAGGUGCCCGGUGCUCCUGGGGGCGCCAAGGAGAGGCCAAGCCCUGCGUCCUUGCACGCCGGCCGGGCCUCUGGCUCGUCUCGACCAGUGACUUCCAAGCCCGCCAGGCACCAGGAUGCAGGGGCGCCUGGCAAGCACGGCCUCGGCGGAUCGGCACGGGGGCCCUGGAAUCCGCUCGUUUAGUAAGCAGCCCUCGCGACCGAGCGUUGAUGGUGCCGCUCACUUCCAGAUGGGGAGACUGAGGCUGGGGGAGCCGGGCUUAGGCUCCUGCCGCCCCGCAGGCCUUUCCCCAUCCCGCCGUCUCGGCAAGGGCUUACGGAGAGCCGGCACGCCUUUUCCUCCACAAACACAUCUGUCUGGUUACAAAAGCGCUCCUGCUACCUAGAAGCCGGAGGGCCCCGUGGUCCGCGAGCGAGCGCGUCCGCGCAGUUCCUGUCUAGACCUCCUCCACAUUUGUUCCUAAUUUCACGCUCCGCGGGCUCCCAGAUUCCUGUGUUUGGUAAUAAAUAGACGGGGAAGUGCUCGGCAGCACUGUGGCUGGUCUCAGAGAUAUUCUCCAGAGCCCGGCUGGCUGGGCUGGGCUGGCGGCCUGGACGGGCAGUUCCCAGCGGCGCCUGGAGAUCUCCUCUCCAAGCUCCUCAGAAAUGCAGGCCCACCUGGUGCGGGGCCCCCGCGAGCCAGACCCGCGCCCACCGGCAGGGCAGGCCGGGGCCGGAGCGCGCCCGUGGCAGGGGGGCCUGGUGUUCAGGAAGCCGGGGAUGCCCUGGGCUGGCCUGCUUCGCGGCCUGGGCUCCGUGAGGGACCGCGGGACGAGCACAAGGCCCGCGCUAUCUUGCUGGCUUUCUUGGGGGCUCAUAGACUUGUAGCAGUUCUCCCCAGACCCCCGCCGAAGACCCCCACCCCGUCCCCCCGCCUGGGGCCAGCGCUGUGAGAGCAGGUGGUUCCCCGCUCCGUUCCCACCGCCCAGCCCAGCCCAGCCCGAUGCUCACAACAGACACUCGAUGCUCACAGGGACGGUGAGCUCUUGAAGAAUGAAUCGAAAUUUCCAGGACGGACCCAGCAGAGCCGGGAGCGCCCGUGAGAAGGGGGGUGGUGUGUCCCUCUCAUUUCGCCCCACGGCUCCCCCCCCCCCCCGGGGUGGCUGCCCCACCCGCACUCCCCAGGCCGUGGGGGAUGCAGGGAGCAGAUGCAUUUCUUUGCAAAAUCCCCCCACCCACACAGCCUAGGGGUAAACCGAGGCCGGAAGAGAAAAACAACGCACCGAGCCAGCAGAAAAGUCCAUCAGACGGACACCUUGUCUUUGUGCCCCCUCACGGCUGCAGAGCCGAGGCCGUGGACUACAGGGAGAGGAUUCAGGGCAGACCCUGGGCCCUGGGGGGCUGGGGGGCCUGGGCCACGGCCAGGAAACUGGAGGGAGCUGCCUCGCCCGACCUGGACUGGCCAGGGGGCUCGGCAUCCCCACUGCCUGGGGAAAGAGGGCACCCCCAGCUGGGUGGCCUUCCUGCCCCCUCGGGCACGGUCCCCAGGCACUUGCUGUCCCCUGCCUCAGGCACCUCUGGGAAGGCAGAGAGCCACGGGAGGUAGCCCUUCCUUCCCUCUGCCACAGAGCCAUGCCAGGGUCACCUGGGGUCCCCCCGGCCCUUCGGGGGCAGUGGGCAGCACAUCGGGCCAGUGGGCAGCACAUCGGGCCAGGCCAGGGGGCACCUACAAGGCAGGCUACCACACUGUCAUUCUUGCGGUUGGUCCUGGAGGCCCCGCCUCAGCACACCGUCCUGCUUCCAGAGGAGUGGCCAGUCGGGGUGCGCUGAGGCAUGCGGUCAAAUGAGGCCGGAUCCCCCGGCUCCAUGGGGACCAGGCUUGGUGGUAUGGAGGGCUGGGAGCGUGUGGCCGUGCCCUGUCUGUGCAGAUGGGUGGCUGUGCCCUCCAGACAAGGAGACCUACCCAGGGUGACCCUGGAUGCCUGCCACAGAAUGAGGGCUGAGCACAGGCCAGCGACCCUGACCUGCCCCCUCCGGCCCCAAGGUGGUGGGGGCGGUGGGGGAGGGGAGGAGGCGAGGCACCCCGUGUCUGAUGUUGUUGAGCUCAGCAGUGUCUGGCCCUGGGGCCCCAGCAGCCCCCAGACCUCUCCUGUCUGACGUCCUGUGAUCUGUCUGAAAGAUGUACAUGUGUCUGUGAGGACAGUUCACACCCGUGCGACUCCAACGCGACAGAGAAAUCCACCCUUUAGCAAAGAGGCCGCCCAGAGGUUCUUACCCUGCCCUCCCGCCCAUGCCGCCCCACUGGGGCUCCUGAACCUAAGUCUGGACGGGUCACUGCCUCCCUCAAACACCCUGGGUGGCUCCCCGGUACCUCACAUUAGUAAUAAGCACACUGUCCUGUCCUGAGCACCCCCUGUGCCCAGCAGGGAGUGACAGUCUCCACCAACAUCUCUAAUCCCUAGGAGAGUCUGAGCAGGUAUCAUCACCCCAUUUUACAGACAAGGAAAUGGAGCCAGAGAGCUGCAUGGAGGUCACAUGGUCCGGGGUGAGGGAGCUGGGGGUGAACUUGGGUGUGCCACCCCAAAGCUGGUGUCUUGUCUUUUCCCCCUUCUCCUGGCUCCCCCCUACACGGCUUGCCUAAAGAAGGGGGGCGGGGACAGGGGCGCUCUCUCCUCCUUGCCCACUGGACAGACGGACGAUAAGCCCCAUGAAGGCAGGAACCUGGUUCACCACGUUUUGUGGCCCUCCUGUCGCUAGGGGUCAGCAUAGUGCAAGGACACAGAAGGAGCUCUCAAACGGGGGGGGGGGGGGGGAUCCGAAACGAACUGGGGUCUAAUUGGUGAGCCCCCGCUGAACAGGCCCAGAGCUUGGGAAGGGAAGGGACGGGGCUUUGCCACUGUGGCUCUCACCUCCCGCGCCUGCCUGCCCCCCCCCCCCCCGCAGGGUGUCCUGGGCAAGCGGGGGAGGGCGCGGCAGGCACCGAGUCGCGGGCCAGGCCCGUGCGGGGUCCCCGUCGGGAGAAAGGCAGGCGAGGUGCGCCUUCAAGAGCUCUGUGAGGCUGGGGUGUCCCAAUCCGUGUCAGGAAAUGGGGGGGCGCAGCUCAACCUUGGUCCGCGCUGGCCUCUUCUCUCCCUUAAAAGUAACAAUGUGUAGACGCUGGGUCUGCAAAACCCUUUCUGUUGCUUGACUUAAAUUUUUUAUUUUUAUUUUCAGCUUCCUCUUCCAAGAACUGAGUGCAGCUGGCACCACGGGAGUUUCCGUUUAUUAAACACUGACUGUGUCCCCGCGCUGAGCCGAUGGCUGUGCCCUUGACAUGUCACUUAACCUCAUGGGUACACUCAGCCCAGGCCCCGGCAAGUCUGGACCACACGCCUCCCAGGUCCUCUGAAUAGAGUCCACACUCCACCGGACCAGCACCGACCACCCACGUCUGCUGCAGGAUGGGUACUGAGCCGUGAUGCGGAUGCCGGUCUCAGGUCUGUCCUUGUCCCGCGGUCCCUAGACUCAGGAUGCCCCUGGGACCACUGCCUGCUGCCUCUCAGGUGGCUAAGUCCUUCUGGUCCUUUGGGACGGGUCUCAGGUCCUGCCCCCUGCAGGGAGCCUUUGCUCUUUCUUCCGUGGGCCUGGCCCGUGUCCUCCAUACCCUGCAGCGUCACUGCGUGCUGCCUUCUCGCCGGCCUUCCCAGUCGACUGCGAGCCCCACGAGGGCUACAGCAUAGCCUCACCUUGAUGCACGGGCCCUGGAAAGCAGCAAGAGCUCUAUAUGUGCCUGUGGGUUAAAUCACCUGCCAAGGCAGAGCCCUUGGGAGCUGAACACGUGGGGAGGGAAGGGAGAGGGGAGACUUUGGAGCCGUAGAUGAGUUUGGGGGAAGAAGACCAAGCCAGCUGUCGAGGGGCUCAUUGGAAAGGGCAAGGGAAGGAGGGAGACUGAGGAGACCCGGACCACGUUUGCUUCUGCUCCUUCUUGCUCCGGUGGUGUGCCACGGGGAAAGCCCACUGCUCCUGGAGAGCCUCGGUUUACGCACCCGUGAAAGCGGGGCAGUGGUGACGCCCGCAUUCGUGGUGCUUGGGGAGAAUGCACGCAUCACCCCGUUUAAGCCUGAUCAUCAUCCUUGGGGUUGGAAUUAUUAACCCGUGUCACAGAUGAGAAAACCGGGGCUGGCGGAGGUGAUGUGACCUGCCCAAGGGCACACGGCCAGUGAGGGGCAGAACGGGGGGCCCGAUGAGGGGCCGGGGGGCUUUUACAGAAAUGCUGGCUGCCUCUGGCAUCUCACAGGAUGGGACAAGCACCCAGCCCAUCACCGACAGCCCGUUGUGUGCUAGAUCCCGCCCCCAGGGCCUGGGGAGGGGUUGGGGGGCGGUACUCAGCCAUCCGCGCCAUGCUCGGAUGCCCCCACUGCUCCAGGACCCCCAGGUGGGUGUCUCCACUUGGCAGGGAUGCAACUUGCCCAAGUGCAGAGAGCAGGGGCAGAUACCCGACGGCGGCGAGGCCCCGCUCCGCCGUCCAGACGAGGCGCCCACGUCAGCUGUUUCCCUCCUUGCAGCCGAUGUCCCUCCAGUCCUGCCCGUUAGCUCCUGAGGAGCUCAGUGGCCUCGAAUCGGCCGCCUCCGUCACGUCAUUGGAGCCACCAUGGCUGAUGACAUCUGUUCUCCCACGGAACCCUCACCGCAGCCCCUGACAGAUUCCCACCGCCCGUGCCCAGCUCUGAUGCCUCCUCCUCCAGGAAGCCUGGGCUCAUGCCGGUCGGCGCUGGUCUUUCCCUCCCAGCCCUGCUCAGCCUAGGAGUCAGGAAGACUUGGGUGUGAAUUCAAACUCUCCUCCCUACGGUCAGGGUGGCCACGGGCCCUGGUCCCCUCACCUUUAAAACAGGAUGUUAACGCCUGUCUCCAGCUCCCCUCCCUCCUCCAUCCUCUCCCCCUCCCUCCUUCCUUCCCUCCCUCUCUCCUCCUUGCCAUAAGCACCAUGAGCGCGGGCAGCAUGCCAAACACUGUGCUGUACAGAGGACACAGAAGUGAGUGGGGGUCGCCAUCCCUGCCUCCUCCUGGCCCUCAGGAAGCUGGACUGUUGGGCAGGCCAGACGUGCACCCUUGACCCAGAGCCUUAAAUGCUGCCCGUGGUCUGGAGUUGCUGGUGGCCUCCACGGAGCCCUCAUUGACCUCCUCUCCUUUGUAUUUCUGUCCAGAAGCCCGUGACUUCUCUCCUCUUGGGCUGUGGGCUCUGGGACCUGGCCCAUCUCAGUUCCCAGCCCAGGGUGCUCAGUGAGAGCUUCCAAAGAGAUAAGUGGGGACCUCGGGGGCGAGGUGGGGGCCGGGGGGCCGGGGGGCAUUUCUAAGAAUAUGCCAACAGGUGUCGUUUUGAUUAUUUUUUAACUACGCGAGCCCCUGCACGGAGACUGCCCCAUGUUCGCUUUCCUACCCGUGUCUCAUGUCUGCACGUUCGGAGCCAUGGUUCGCCUUUGCAGACGCCCCCUCCCUCCCCCCCCCCCCCCCCACUACAGCCAAGAAUCCCCCUGGAACUCAGGCUUGAGCGUGACUCUCCUGGUCUAGGCCCCAAACAUCUGCGUGUCCCUGGCCCUCCGAGCUGGUCUCUGAUUUUCUUCCUCAGCUCUGCAUUUUCUAUUGCCGCCAUGCUUCUUAAGCCAGUCUGCCUGAGAGGUUUGUUCCCUGGGCCUCCCGACCACAAAAUGCACGGUCUUGCCUCUGAGCCUUUGCUGAUGCCAUUCCAUGCACCUUGAACUCUGUUCCAGUUCUGCUUAUUGAAACCCCUGGCUGUUGGUCAGUAGGCUCCUUGAGUAAGCCCUUCCUGCCAUGGACACAGCUCCCCCUUCUGGGAUCUAGUGGCCCUCCCUGUCCCUACUCUGUGCUUGGCGUCGAUCAUUUAUCAACAAUUCAGCUGCAAAUAUUUAGUAAGCUCCUACUGCAUCCUGGUUUCUGCUCUGGGUCUCCGCCUUUGAAACAGCAAGUGCAAAGGCCCAGGGGCAGGCAGAGCAAGGUGGGCUCCAGGAGCUGGAGCACAGGAGCGGCAGGAGGAAGUGGCACAGGGUCGGCAGAGACCAGGCUGCACAGCAGGGUCCGUCUGCAUCUGAACAGCCUUCACGGAGCAUUCCUGCUUGUCUUCUCACAGCUUCAAUUUCAUGCCUCCUCCCUCCUGAAAUGCCUUCUAGAUUCGUCAUCCCUCACCUUUGGAUGUGCGUCAAGUCUACCUGAGGUUGAGAGAGAACCAUCGGAAAGGAUUCUAGAGAACGCUGCUCGGCGCUCCCGCGGGUCCAGGGGGAGGUCCUGCUCCCACCUGUCGUACCUCCCGGAGCACGGGCCACAGAGCUCAGAAGGGCUGGGACUGGGUGCUGCUCCGGUCCUGCCCGACAAGCCCAAAAGCUGGAGCUGAAUGAAUCGAAGCGUUUCCAAGUAACGGCCACAGCCCGGAACAAAGCUCACAAGUCCGCACAGGGGUGUGGCUCCCAACCAGCUGGGAAGUUACCUGGCCUGCCAAGAAGCCAACGAUACGAUCCAUAACGGGGAGAGAAGUCAGGCCGUCGAAACUAACCCAGAAAUGGCACAGAUGACAGAAUUAGGAGGCGAGGACAUCGAAAGCGUUACGACAGCUGUCGCCCCCGUGGUCAGAACGCGGGAGGAGAAACUGGGCACGUGAAGCAGAAACACAGACGACGUUAGAGAGAACCGAACCGAAUUUCUAGAGAUUAGAGAUUUCUCAGGUAAGAAAUACACCACGUGGGAGUAACAUCAGAGUCGAUGCUGCGGGAGAAGGGGGUUUGGGGGCCCAGGUAGAAACAGCCAAUGUAACAGCAAAGAGACAAACCCCCGACGGAGGAAGCGGGGCUCCGGGGGGAGGAUCGGAGCCCCCGAAGGAAAGCGGGCGCAGAGAGGUGACUCAUGAGAAGAAAUGUUGGUGGAAUCGUGGAUCCCAGACCCUCCACAAACCGGAAGCCCAAGAAACAUGAGGGAAGCCACGCCGAGGAACAUUCUAAUAAAAUAGUCCAAAACCAGUGAUACGGUGAACAUCGAAGACAGAGGAAAAGGCACGUGAGGAACAACGUAGGCACGCACAGACUGCUGUGGAAACGGUGAAUGCCAGGAGACAGCUGGCGGCAGGUUUACAGUAGGGGGAACACCAACCUAGAAUUUUCUAUCCAGCAAAACUCUUUCCGAAAUUAACACGAGAGUGGCAUUAGUAUCGUCUCCUCUUCUCGACGACAGAGUCCUGGAGGGCAAGAUCACAGCUUGGCUCCUCGCCAGGGCACGCUGCUUGGCUCUAUUGCUGGAAGAUUCUUCUCAUCGGGUUUGGGUCUCCAGCGGCCCCAUCGGUGCAUGGGUUGGGGAAUCGUGUGGGAAGGACUCUGUUCUAUGGGAGUUGGGUGGAAUCUGGCUCGUUUUGGGGGAGGCCCAGGUGGAGGGAGCAGCGGCCCUUCGGGGGCUCUCCCCACGGGGGACCCCAACUUCCUGGACCCGAGCCCUGCAGAGUGAGCUCAGGGGGUGGGAGGUGCGGGGCGCCUUCUGUUAUGACCGCCUUGCGCCUUGUAUUGACCUCGCCCAUCCCCACAGGAGUGUAAAACGCAAAAAAGAAAUCUGCUUGAUGUUUUAAAAAAACAACAAACCAAAUAUAUACAUAUGUUUUAGCUGUUCACAAGGUUA